CACCAGGUUGAUUCUGCCUGACGUAUGCGCUUGUCUUGAAGAUUUAGCCAUGCAAGCUAGCGAAGCCUUAUGGUGGAGCGGCGGACAGCUCAGUAAUACAGUUAUUAUUUACUCGUAGUAUGUAUACGGAUAACCAUGGUAAGCUAUGGCUAAUACGUGAACAGGUUAUUGCAUAGAUGAAACAGCGAUAACUGAGAGAGCAAUCGACUACGACUAAGUUUCUGGCCUAUCAGCUAGAUGGUAAGGUAAUGGCUUACCAUGGCUAUAACGGGUAACGGGAAAUCAGUGUUUGAUUCCGGAGAGGGAGCCUGAGAAAUAGCUCCCACGUCCAAGGACGGCAGCAGGCGCGAAACUUACCCAAUUCCUUAGCGGGAGAGGUAGUGAAGAGACAUGAAGUUCUACUUAGAGACUGUACGGUAAAAUAGUACAGGAUCUACUGGAGGGCAAGUCUGGUGCCAGCAGCCGCGGUAAUUCCAGCUCCAGUAGCGCAUAUAAUAGUUGCUGCAGUUAAAACGUCCGUAGUUGAUCACAAGGUAUUCUUCUGCAUAGUAUUUGUGGAGUGUAUCUCGAUACUGUGAGAAAAAUAUGGUUCUCAAAGCGGAUUACGUGAGUAAUUUAGCAUGGGACAUGGUGAAUAUAGGAACAGAUGAUGGCAAUAGUAUUCAGCAGUUAGAGGUGAAAAUCGUUGACCUGCUGAGGACUCUCUGAAGCGAAAGCGAUUGUCAAGUAUGUCUCCGUUAAUAAAGGACUUAAGCUGGAGUAUCGAAGAUGAUUAGAUACCGUCGUAGUUCCAGCUGUAAACUAUGCCGACUAGGUGAGGCCGUCAGGCUGCGCCUUAGGAGAAAUCAAAGUUUUUGGGCUCUGGGGAUAGUAUGGAUGCAAAUCUGAAACUUAAAGAAAUUGACGGAAGGACACCACAAGGAGUGGAUUGUGCGGCUUAAUUUGACUCAACGCGGGGCAACUUACCAGGGCCGAAUGCAUAGGAGAUCGGCUGUCUGAGAGGGUACCCGAGAUUAUGCAGGAGGUGGUGCAUGGCCGUUUUCAACACGUGGGGUGGCCUGUCUGGUUAAUUCCGUAAACGCGUGAGGCCUGGGAAGCAAUUCAUUGCUUGACGGAUAGCGGCAAGCUAUAGGAAGACAGGCUAUAACAGGUCAGUGAUGCCCCUAGAUGUUCUGGGCUGCACGCGCAAUACAAUGGUAUAGUGAGACUAUGUACUGAAAAGUAUGCUUUAAGCUAUAUCGAAUCUGGGAUAAGCUCUUGUAAAUGAGUUUUGAACGAGGAAUUCCUAGUAAUCGCAGGUCAUAAUGCUGCGAUGAAUGCGUCCCUGUUCUUUGUACACACCGCCCGUCACUAUCUUAGAUGGAUGUAUCGGUGAAAUGGCUGGACGAAAGAAAGGCAGUUGAACCUAUACAAUUAGAUAAGAUAUAAGUCGUAACAAGGCUGCUAUAGGUGAACCUGUGGCAGGAUCAUUA
rnacentral:rRNA from 1 species